rnacentral:tRNA from 1 species
UCCCCCUUAGCUCAGUCGGUAGAGCGAGAGACUGUUAAUCUCCAGGUCCAUGGUUCGAGUCCAUGAGGGGGAGCCA